rnacentral:rRNA from 1 species
CUAUAUAUCCACAUCAACUUGAACAUAUUUGAUUUCAUUUUAUUUUGAAAGCUAAGCAGGAUUGGCCAUGGCUAGUAUUUGGAUAGGUGAACACCAAGGAAUACCAGGGACUGCCAGGU